GACGAACGCUGGCGGCGUGCUUAACACAUGCAAGUCGAACGGAAAGGCCCUGCUUUUGUGGGGUGCUCGAGUGGCGAACGGGUGAGUAACACGUGAGUAACCUGCCCUUGACUUUGGGAUAACUUCAGGAAACUGGGGCUAAUACCGGAUAGGAGCUCCUGCUGCAUGGUGGGGGUUGGAAAGUUUCGGCGGUUGGGGAUGGACUCGCGGCUUAUCAGCUUGUUGGUGGGGUAGUGGCUUACCAAGGCUUUGACGGGUAGCCGGCCUGAGAGGGUGACCGGCCUCAUUGGGACUGAGAUACGGCCCAGACGCCUACGGGAGGCAGCAGGGGGGAAUAUUGCACAAUGGGCGGAAGCCUGAUGCAGCAACGCCGCGUGCGGGAUGACGGCCUUCGGGUUGUAAACCGCUUUCGCCUGUGACGAAGCGUGAGUGACGGUAAUGGGUAAAGAAGCACCGGCUAACUACGUG
rnacentral:rRNA from 1 species